rnacentral:rRNA from 1 species
UAACCUACCCAUCAGAGGGGGAUAACACUUGGGAACAGGUGCUAAUACCGCAUAACAGUUUAUGCCGCAUGGCAUAAGAGUGAAAGGCGCUUUCGGGUGUCGCUGAUGGAUGGACCCGCGGUGCAUUAGCUAGUUGGUGAGGUAACGGCUCACCAAGGCCACGAUGCAUAGCCGACCUGAGAGGGUGAUCGGCCACACUGGGACUGAGACACGGCCCAG